GACGAACCGAGCGAACGUUAUUCGGAAUCACUGGGCUUAAAGGGCGCGUAGGCGGCUCUGCACGUUCGUUGUGAAAUCGCCCGGCUCAACUGGGCGGGGUCAGCGGAUACGGCAGAGCUUGAGCAAGCUAGGGGGCAAUGGAAUUCCCGGUGUAGUGGUGGAAUGCGUAGAUAUCGGGAGGAACACCAGUGGCGAAGGCGGCUUCCUGGCCUGUUCUUGACGCUGAGGCGCGAAAGCUAGGGUAGCAAACGGG
rnacentral:rRNA from 1 species